GGUGUCUUAUUACAAACGGCAACACAAAACUCCUUUCUGUGUUUGUGUGUGUGUGUGUGUGUGUGUGUGUGUGUGUGUGUGUGUGUGUUUUGUUUUGAGACCUUUUUUUUGGUAUUUUGAGACUGUAUGCGCUUUGUAAGAACUUUUAUGUUCAGGAAAACUGAGCUGAAGGUACAGUUCCCACCUGCCCCCUGCACGAUCCUACACACUGUCUCCACUCAUUUCAAGGACCAGGGAACACAAUUAUCUAACGAGGGAGUUGUUUCUGCUAGUAGGCAAUCCACAGCCGCGCUGCAAUGUUAACAGGACCUUGGACCCCGAGGGUCCUGUGAGCUGGUUUAUUUGGACUUCCUACAUUUCCUAAUAUGGACACAGUCUUUUGUCUAAAGAGUAAGACUUUCUUUUAAAAGAAAAAAAAAAGGAAUUCUCAGUUUCAUUUUACUGCCAUUUCUAAUAAAAUAUAUUAGUGAAAACUACUAUUUACUGAUCAGCAUAUACGUAAAAUUCAGUCUAGCACAUUAACAACCUGUAGAGUUUCAAUGAGAUAAAGCAAUACAUUCAAAGAUAAUUUAAAAGUCACCAUCUCCUUUAAAAUGUGGAAAGACAAGAUUUCACAGGAAAAAAAGCUGAACAGCUGUUCUCUUUUGAGACAGUCUUCCUCUUGUAGCCCAGACAGUCCUAGAACUCACGGCAAUUCUCCUGUCUCAGCCUCCUCACUGCUCAAGUUACAGCUGUGAUCUACCACACCCAAGGUGAGCAGCUCUUUGCAAAGCUCACUGUUACCAUGCCCCACAAAUUGCUUCGCAGCAUUUCUCAACUUAUGGGUCCUGACCCCUUUGGGAGUCAAUGACCCUUUCACAGGAGUUGCUGAACACCGUUGAAAAAGCAGAGAUUUACAUUUACAAUUCCUAACCGUAGAAAAAUUACAGUUAUGAAAUAGCGAAAUAAUGUUAUGGUUGGGGGUCAGCACAACAUGAGGAGCUGUAUUAAAGGGUCACAACAUUAGGAAGGUCGGGACCCACUGGUCUAGCGUCUGCUCUCAAGGUAUGCAAAGGGACAAUGGCCCUGGGUUUGAAGAACAGGCUUAGGGGAGCACUCUCCACCCCAACACCCGAAACAGACAAGCAGCAGGUCUUGUCCGCAGCACUUCUGUUUCGUUUCUGUUUCAGCAUGUCACCUUAAACAACAGGUCCCUAGAAUGACCAAGAAGAAUCCUAAUGAGGACAGGACUGCUCUCUGAGUGGAAAGUUCUCAUGGCCGGGGACUCCCAGUAUGUCACAGCUACUGUCCCUAGAGUCUCCCAGCUUUUCACUGCUGCCUGAAGCUAUGUACACACCCUUAACUCUCCAGUGAGGGCAACAGGGCUCAAAGGGCUGAAUUCAGGGCAAGGGUACAGACGACUCCCACCCAGACUGGGGCUCCAGGCUCCAGCUGACAGCUACCAGGUCCACCCCUGCCAGUCCUGCCCUUGUUCUUAAUAAGCCAGGUUUGUUUAAGAUGGGUAACUCAGAACCUCAGAACCCAUGAACCUCAGACUUGGACAUUGAGAAGGUUAACGUUAAUAACUAUUAACGUAUUAGGCACUGCAUGCCAAACACAACACAAACAUUACCUUUAACCUUUUCUAAAUGUUUAAGGAUGGUAUACAGGCUACAGUCCAUGCUGUCACACAGGGAGCAGGGAUCAUACUUUUUAGUGUUUUAGAAAACAAAAACCACAAGCCUGGAUUAGGACCCCAGGAUUCCUUAGCAACUAUUCUUAAGCAACACAGCCGAAUGAAUAUAUAAACCAAAUGAGGCAAAUGAAGCCUCGCUCUCAAUCAAAUCAGGCUCUGCUGCCAAAUAAUGUUCAGUUAGCUACCAAUACUUGGGAAGCUGAGGUGAAAGAUGAAGAAGUUAGAGAAGCGAUCUAGGCUAAACUCCAAGGCCUUCUAGCAUAAAGGAAACCAACAAAAAGAAACAAAACCCCUUUCAUUCCCAGCCUGGAGCUGGCAGGUUUUGACUAAGGCCCCGUAGCUCUGUACUAUCUUACAGAUGAUCAAGAAACACAGAUACUAAGUUGCUGACCAGAACAUGCAUAGCUAAGUAGUAAGAGUCAGUACUGACACAAGUCAGAUCUCCUCAGAAAAGGUCGGCUUCUUCCAUUUGGUGACCUGAGUAAUGCCACACAACUUGCAUGAGGGGCAAUGCACUGAGAUGUGCUAAUACGCUCAGUAAAAGACAAACUAUUUGAACUUUAAAAAAAAAAGUCUCACUGCCUAGUCAAAUAUCUGCCUGCCUGUUCAAAGAUUAAAAGCCUUGCACUAGGUCGAAACCACUGUCUCCUGCGUGAGAUACGUUUCAACCCGGAGCUCCGCCAUUAAACUACCUCGUGUUUUUGGUCAUCUGUUCAUGAUUCUUGGGUGCACGCUGGAUCGGGAAAUGAGUGGGGAUUUCCCCACUAGGUUCUUUCAUUUGGAGGUUCUACCAAGACCUACAUGACACCCAGGAACCCCAAAAGACUCCUUGGAGGGCAGCCCCGCCCUAAGCUGCUAACCAGCGAGGGAGACAUCUGCCCACUUAAAACUUCUGUCCCAGGUAAGGAGCACCUACGAGUAUAAUCACCAGGCUCUGACAAAUGUGUAUAGAGGUCCAGAAAAAGGUGAGCUUAGACUGUAAGGAAGAGCAAAGCUUCAGCAGACUCAGGAGAGAUAGAUGACAGUGAAAGUAGAGAUGAAAGAGAUUAGAGAGGUCCGAGAUGAUACCCCGAAUGAGAAAUAUUUAGAGUAGAACGAGUAAGAGGCAGAGAAGGCGUAUUACAAGAGAAGAGAGAGGGGGGGGGGCAAGAGGCAGAAUAAAGAGAAAGCCGGAGGGAUCGUAGACAAGAAAGAAAUUUGACUAGAAACUUGGCCACAGUGGUAGGAGAGAAAGAAAAGACAGGAUCUAGACAGGAAACCUGGGCAACUGAAGACCGAGCCUCAGCUAAAGAGGCUCAGCUGUGUCAGACUGAAGUUACUUAUUUGGGAUAUACCCUUCGAGAUGGGAAGCAGUGGCUAAAGAAAGCCAGAAAAAAGACUGUAACUCAGAUCCCCAACCCAACUACACCAAGGCAAGUAAAAGAAUUCUUGGGCACCUCUGGCUUCUACAGACUCUAGAUACCUGGGUUGGUGACCUUAGCUGCCCUGUUGUACCCCCUAACCAAGGAAGGGAAGGUGUUUGUGUGGACCCCAGAUCACCAGAAAGCCUUUGAAGAAAUUAAAAAGGCCCUACUGACGGCCAGUCUUGGUCUUUGCCUGACCCAACCAAGCCCUUCACUCUUUAUGUGGAAGAGAGAGCAGGGGUCGCCAGAGGAGUCCUUGCUCAGACUUUGGGACCUUAAAAAAGGCCAGUGGCUGGGCUGGUGAGAUGGCUCAGUGGGUAAGAGCACCCGACUGCUUUUCCAAAGGUCCAGAAUUCAAAUCCCAGCAACCACAUGGUGGCUCACAACCAUCUGUAACAAGAUCUGACGCCCUCUUCUGGAGUGUCUGAAGACAGCUACAGUGUACUUACAUAUAAUAAUAAAUAAAAAUCUUUAAAAAAAAAAAAAGGCCAGUGGCUUACCUAUCCAAGAAGUUACACCCUGUGGUUUUCUUGCCUGAAAGCUAUUGCUGCCAUAACUCUGCUUGUCAAGGAUGCUGAUAAGCUCACUCUGGGACAGCAAAUAACUGUAGUGGCACCCCACGCUCUUAAAAGCAUUAUCCGACAGCCCCCUGACCGAUGGAUGAUUGAACGAGUGACUUUCACUCCUGCUGUCCUCACUCCCACUACCCUACUGCCCGAGACUUCACCUACUCAUCAUUGUGCUGACAUUCUGGCAGAAGAAACUGGUACUCGAAAUGAUCUAAAGGAUCAGAUCAGCCUUGGCCUGAGAGUUCGAGCUGGUACACGGAUGGCAGUAGCCUUGCGGUUGAAGGACUGAGACGGCCAAUGUGAUAGCCAAGAGGAUCCUAGAAGAAAUCUUCCCGAGGUUUGAGAUACCCAAGGUAAUCAGGGCAAUAAUGGACCUGCCUUUGUUGCCCAGGUAAAUCAGGGACUGGCCAAGAUAUUGGGGAUUGAUUAGAAAUUACAUUGUGCAUACAGGCUCCAAAGCUAAGGACAGGUAAAAAA